rnacentral:tRNA from 1 species
GGAUGUAGCUCAGUGGUAGAGCUGCUUACUGAACAGCAAGUGAUGCCUCUGGGUUCAAUUCCCAGUACGACCA